ACAAAGGAGAUACAAGUUAUUUCACAAUUUGGACCGUGAAAAACACUGGGUGUAGAUGGUAAGCCAACCGUCUUGUCCCAAUACAUUUGGGACAUAAUGGGUCCUCUGACCACAGAAGCAAGCCUCUCAUUCUUUAAUUUGGGCCACAUUCAUAAGGAACUCAAAAAGCUCCAAUUCUAGCGUAUCGAAUUCAAAUUUGGGAGGAAAUCAAUGUGGCAUCAACCACAAGCCUAGCACUCAUACCUUGGAGUAGAUUUCAAAUGAACAAUCAGACCCUACCACUGAUAAACUCAUAUGCCCUUGGGAUCAUAAAGUCAUGAUCGAUCUUGUAGGAAAGAAUGAGGAGUAGAUCCUCUGUCACCGCUCGUUCUCCAUUUUUGUGGCUGUAGUUUCAAAGAAGAAUUCACAGUUUUCUCAACAAGGACAUUAUUAACUGGAAGGAAGCUAGGACGAGUUUCUACUACAAAUUCAUCAACAUCUAGAAACAUAAAAAAUGAUUUCAUAAGGAACCAAGCUCCAAACCUUGCCCUGCGAGAGCUCUAUUCCAAUGAAAUAGGAUGCGCUUUUUGCACAAAUCUUCACAACAUAUAAUGCGGAAAAGCAAGAGGAACCUAGUAAUGUCAUGCCAGACUAAAGAGCAAAAUAAAAUGCACAUGCCCACUGACAGCAGAACUUAAGAGACUAUGGCUUGAGGGAUUGAUUGGUUUUGGAAUAAUUACCAUACUGUAGAAACAAUUCGGAAAAGCCUGGAAGCCCUAUCCUAUCCAUCACUUACGUUGGGAUUACUCUUCUUAGGCAACUCGUAUUAAAAUUCUACCAACCCAACGUUACAUCUUGUACUUACAAGGACCCAAAAAACCAAUGGAGAAACAUCACUCUCAAGCGUAACCAAAUCCUUUGGAUAUUCCCAUGGCAAUGGAGGAUAUGAGCCUGCUAUUCAAUCAUAUAUUGAUCUCUUUCUCCAAACAAUGGCACUCCAUGCCCAAGGAAAUAACGAGAUUGGCAACAACUGUACUGCUUAACCCUACAUCCUUCAGAUGACCACUACUUUGGACCCUUUUUUUUUCUUAUGUGCCAAAAACGUUAUAUUUAAGUAAAC
rnacentral:lncRNA from 1 species